UCAGACGCAAUUGAAGGACAAUCAUCAGUAUUAAUUUUGAACACCUUGAGCUUCCCAGCAAAUUCCUUGGAUAACUCAUCAAUUACUGGUUGGAUUAUUCGACAAGGCCCACACCAUGGAGCCCAGAAUUCAACCACAACAGAAUGAGGCGCUGGCUGAAUCACUGUCGUCUCAGCAGCCGGAUGUGGUGAUAAACAGAAAAUGAUGAGGGGGAGAAUGAAGCUGUCCCUAGUCAUGGGUGACCGGCUACAACAAGUCUAAACUAGCUUAAUCCCCAAAAUCGUACUCUCAUUCAAACUAAUCUUCAAAAAAACUAGAUUUCAUCCCCAAAAUCCAUCUCCAAAAUCACACUCUUAUUCGAUUACGGUUUACUCAAUCAAUCGCCCACUCAUUGCUGGAUUGAACGACAACAUCCAACGAAGAACUGAAUUCGAUUACAAUGUUAGUGCAGGGAACAACUACCAAGUGAGGUCACAAGCGCCAAUGUUGUGUUCAACCCAAGCAUCUGUGUCAAAAAAUCCUAAGGAAGCUUAGCUAAUUAAGUUAAGAUAAGUAUGUAAGCAAGUUUAGUUAAUUAAGUUU